GAUGAAGAACGCAGCGAAAUGCGAUAAGUAGUGUGAAUUGCAGAAUUCAGUGAAUCAUCGAGUCUUUGAACGCACAUUGCGCCCCCUGGCAUUCCGGGGGGCAUGCCUGUCCGAGCGUCAUUGCUGCCCUUCAAGCCCGGCUUGUGUGUUGGGUCGUCGUCCCCCCCGGGGGACGGGCCCGAAAGGCAGCGGCGGCACCGCGUCCGGUCCUCGAGCGUAUGGGGCUUUGUCACCCGCUCGAUUAGGGCCGGCCGGGCGCCAGCCGGCGUCUCCAACCUUCUAUUUUACCAGGUUGACCUCGGAUCAGGUAGGGAUACCCGCUGAACUUAAGCAUAUCAAUAAGCGGAGGA
rnacentral:misc_RNA from 1 species